rnacentral:lncRNA from 1 species
UCCACUCCCUCAAUUUGACGUGUUACACGUGCACGGCUACGGUGCCAAGUGACCCUUGUGUCCAUUCACCCAACCAAUCAGAGGUGGUCAUGUGUGCUGAUGAUAAACCAUUCUGUCGUGUAUUACGUGUGGAUUCCCAGUACGGGGACCUCAUGAGCUUUGCCCGGGGGUGCUCCUCCGUGUGUAAGAACCACUGUGGUAUCUGGGGAGACGAUGUGGAUGAGGAGAGAUGUCACUCCUGCUGUCGUACCCAACUGUGUAAUGUAGGUAAUGGAUGUGUGAGGCCUUACACACUGUCCGGCGAUCUUCUGACAAUAACACUGGCCAUGGUCUACAUUGUACAACUGAACUGACGGACCGAAUGGAUGGUGGUUAACUGGCAAUAAUACUGCGCAUAAUUUACAUUCAACAUCGGAGCUGAGAGACAGCACAAAUUUACCUUUUAAUUGAUAUUUAUCUUCGAUGAUAGUGAUAACUUGGAAAAAGCACUCACCAUGAUCUUAAUUUUAUAUUGGAAAUGAGGGGUCAAACAGACUAAGAGUUUAACAAUGUAUGUCGUUAUGUGACCAUCGUGUAAAUACGUUUUACUUUUGAAACAUCAUUCCUUUUUUAAACAAUUUUAAGCAUGUCAGUGACUUGAAUGCAAUUUCAUAUGAUUAAAGGUACUGUAUGUUUUCACUGUGAAUAUGCACACAGCUGCUACACAAGAACUAUAACCAAACAGUGAAUGACAAUAUCAGAGCCACAGGCUGUAAUCGCUAAAUCUUCCAUCGAUUAUGUCAACACUCAACUAGUAAGCUACCUGCAAUGAAAAAUGAAGAGCUAUGUCGAUAACUCCAAAUAACGAUUCGUAUUUCAAAACAAUAUGGCGAGUAAUACCUUGUAAAAAAUAGCAAAUGAUAACUGAGGUUGAGAAGUAAAAAGACUUGAGUGUCCCCCGUCUUUCUUUAACUUUUCAAAAGAAAACCUUUAUCUUAAAAGAACUGAGCGUAUAAUAUUUCACUUAUAUAUAUAACACUUCAAAACAUCGAUUAGAUUUGUGUUUCACUGAAUAAAACCUCAUUUGAGGUUUAGGAAAAUGACGCCAAACUCUAUGAAUUACGUGUUUAGACCUUUCGAAUCAGUUACAUUAAUCACAAAUGAAAUGUCAACGAAUGGACUAUUUUGAAAACUUUGUUAUUCUUCCCUGUGUCAUCACCUGAUACCUUAUUUUGAGAUGAACGCCAUGACGUCUGAGAUUCAAAUUUACUCAUUAGUUAUUUUGCUAUCUAUGUCAUACCUGAAAUAUAUUGGGCAGGUGAUUUCGUAUAAGGUGGCAAGUAUCUACAAUUAAUACAUCUCACUUGGACAGACACAUCAGCAUGACAGCCAUUUUGUCAUUUUUGUUUUGGAAGGUAUUUAUCUGUGAUACAUUUGAGUCAUAAGAAUCGUUUAUUUAACAAUUUAGUCACAUAGUUAAUUUACCAAUGAAGCAAAUACAUUUUUAACACUUUUGUAACAUAUUUUCUUUGGCGUUGUCUUUUUCAAAGCUUCGGUGCCAUAUCAAUUAUCCAUAUCGUGACGUCAAUAUACAAUGUAACAAAACAAUGACAAUGGCAUAGCUACUAGAUAUAUUUUUUAAUUUUUAAGCACAUAACUAAGACUGUAUUUGAUAUGCAAAUCAUUUAGUAAAAUCUCGAUGGUAAAAUUUGAUCUUAACCAACAGGGUGUCCACUUGAAACAUCACAAGACAAUUUCAAAAUAAAGUACGAUGAAAUGAC